ACGGGAGGCAGCAGCUAAGAAUAUUCCGCAAUGGACGAAAGUCUGACGGAGCGACGCCGCGUGGAUGAUGAAGGUCGAAAGAUUGUAAAAUCCUUUUAGGAGUGAAGAAUAAGCGGUGCAGGGAAUGGCAUCACGGUGACGGUAGCUCCUGAAUAAGCAACGGCUAAUUACGUGCCAGCAGCCGCGGUAAUACGUAAGUUGCGAGCGUUGUUCGGAAUUAUUGGGCGUAAAGGGCAUGUAGGCGGAUAUGCAAGCUUGGUGUGAAAGGCGGGAGCUUAACUCCCGGACUGCGUUGAGAACUGCAUAACUAGAGUGACUGAGGGGCAGGCAGAAUUCCAGGUGUAGGGGUGAAAUCUGUAGAUAUCUGGAAGAAUACCAAUGGCGAAGGCAGCCUGCCAGCAGAUGACUGACGCUGAGGUGCGAAGGUGCGGGGAGCAAACAGGAUUAGAUACCCUGGUA
rnacentral:rRNA from 1 species